AUUGAACGCUGGCGGCAGGCCUAACACAUGCAAGUCGAACGAGCGGCGGACGGGCGAGCAAUGUAUGGGGAUCUGCCCGAUAUAGGGGGAAAACUACUGGAAACGGUGGCUAAUACCGCAUACUAUCGGAUGAACCCAUAUGGGAUUAUCUAGUAGGGGGGGUAAAGGCGCACCAAGGCGACGAUCCAUAGCUGGUCUGAGAGGCUGAGCGGCCACACUGGGACUGAGACACGGCCCAGACUCCUACGGGAGUCAGCAGUGGGGAAUCUUGCGCAAUGGGCGAAAGCCUGAUGCGGCCACGCCGCGUGUAUGAAGAAGGCCUUAGGGUUGUAAAGCACUUUCAGCGGGGAGGCGUUACCCGCCGAAGAAGCACCGGCUAACUACGUGCCAGCAGCCGCGGUAAUAC
rnacentral:rRNA from 1 species